CAAGAGCGUAUAUUAAAGUUGCUGCGGUUAAAAAGCUCGUAGUUGGAUUUCAGUCUAGGAAGGUUAACUCGCCGAAAGGUUGUACGUUGAUUUUCAUCAGACUUCGUCAGAAGCUCGUGCUGCACUUAACUGUGUGGUACGAUGUUCUGACCUUUUACCUUGAGGAAAGUAGAGUGUUUCAGGCAGGCUACCCAGCUUGAAUACAUUAGCAUGGAAUAAUGAAAUGGAUCUCGGUUCGAUUUCGUUGGUUCUAGAGCUGAGGUGAUGAUCAAUAGGAACAGGCGAAGGUAUUCGUACUUGAGAGUGAGGAGUGAAAUCCGAUGAUCUCUUAAAGACGAUCCGAGGCGAAAGCAUUUGUCAAGGAUGUUUUCAUUGA
rnacentral:rRNA from 1 species